rnacentral:RNase_P_RNA from 1 species
CAAUUACGCCAAAAAUUUGGUGAGGAAAGUCCGAGCACCAUAGAGCAAUCACGCUUGAUAACAUCAAGCCAAAGUGAUUUGAGGAAAAGUGCAACAGAAAUAUACAGCCUUCGGGCAAUGGUGAAAUAGUGAGGUAAGAGCUCACUCGAAAUAUUGGUGACAAUAAUUCGCUGUAAACUCCGUGAGGUGCAAGAUGUGGAACUUAUGGGCUGCUCGUCCGUUCCCGUAAUCGCAUGAGCAUGUCAGCAAUGAUAUGCCUAGAUUGAUGAUUGCCUUAAAUGACAGAACUCGGCUUACAGGUCAACU